rnacentral:rRNA from 1 species
CCUACGGGAGGCAGCAGUGGGGAAUAUUGGACAAUGGGCGAAAGCCUGAUCCAGCAACGCCGCGUGAGGGAUGACGGCCUUCGGGUUGUAAACCUCUUUCAGCACAGACGAAGCGAAAGUGACGGUAUGUGCAGAAGAAGCACCGGCCAACUACGUGCCAGCAGCCGCGGUAAUACAUAGGGUGCGAGCGUUGUCCGGAAUUAUUGGGCGUAAAGGGCUCGUAGGCGGUUUGUUGCGUCAGGAGUGAAAACUCGGGGCUUAACCCCGAGCCUGCUUCUGAUACGGGCAGACUAGAGGUAUGCAGGGGAGAACGGAAUUCCUGGUGUAGCGGUGAAAUGCGCAGAUAUCAGGAGGAACACCGGUGGCGAAGGCGGUUCUCUGGGCAUUACCUGACGCUGAGGAGCGAAAGUGUGGGGAGCGAACAGGAUUAGAUACCCUGGUAGUCCACACCGUAAACGUUGGGCGCUAGGUGUGGGACUCAUUCCACGAGUUCCGUGCCGCAGCUAACGCAUUAAGCGCCCCGCCUGGGGAGUACGGCCGCAAGGCUAAAACUCAAAGGAAUUGACGG